rnacentral:rRNA from 1 species
AUUGAACGCUGGCGGCAUGCCUUACACAUGCAAGUCGAACGGCAGCGGGGACUUCGGUCCGCCGGCGAGUGGCGAACGGGUGAGUAAUGUAUCGAAACGUACCAUUCAGUGGGGGAUAACUAUCCGAAAGGAUAGCUAAUACCGCAUAUUCUGUGAGCAGGAAAGCAGGGGAUCGCAAGACCUUGCGCUGAUUGAGCGGCCGAUAUCAGAUUAGCUAGUUGGUGAGGUAACGGCUCACCAAGGCUACGAUCUGUAGCGGGUCUGAGAGGAUGAUCCGCCACACUGGGACUGAGACACGGCCCAGACUCCUACGGGAGGCAGCAGUGGGGAAUUUUGGACAAUGGGCGCAAGCCUGAUCCAGCCAUGCCGCGUGAGUGAAGAAGGCCUUCGGGUUGUAAAGCUCUUUCGGCCGGGAAGAAAUCGCAUCAGCUAAUACCUGGUGUGGAUGACGGUACCGGAAUAAGAAGCACCGGCUAACUACGUGCCAGCCGCCGCCGUAAGAC